AUACGUAGGUGGCAAGCGUUAUCCGGAAUUAUUGGGCGUAAAGAGGGAGCAGGCGGCAGCAAGGGUCUGUGGUGAAAGCCUGAAGCUUAACUUCAGUAAGCCAUAGAAACCAGGCAGCUAGAGUGCAGGAGAGGAUCGUGGAAUUCCAUGUGUAGCGGUGAAAUGCGUAGAUAUAUGGAGGAACACCAGUGGCGAAGGCGACGAUCUGGCCUGCAACUGACGCUCAGUCCCGAAAGCGUGGGGAUCAAAUAGGAUUAGAUACCCUAGUAGUCCACGCCGUAAACGAUGAGUACUAAGUGUUGGAUGUCAAAGUUCAGUGCUGCAGUUAACGCAAUAAGUACUCCGCCUGAGUAGUACGUUCGCAAGAAUGAAACUCAAAUGAAUUGAAGGG
rnacentral:rRNA from 1 species